CCUACGGGGUGCAGCAGUGAGGAAUAUUGGUCAAUGGUCGGAAGCCUGAACCAGCCAAGUCGCGUGCAGGAUGACGGCCCUACGGGUUGUAAACUGCUUUUGUACGGGAAUAACGCGCCUUACGUGUACGGCUUUGCAUGUACCGGAUGAAUAAGGACCGGCUAAUUCCGUGCCAGCAGCCGCGGUAAUACGGAGGGUCCGGGCGUUAUCCGGAUUUAUUGGGUUUAAAGGGAGCGUAGGCCGCAUGUCAAGCGUGCUGUGAAAUGUCCGGGCUCAACCCGGGCCUUGCAGCGCGAACUGGCGUGCUCGAGUGCGCGGGAAGCAGGCGGAAUGCGGGGUGUAGCGGUGAAAUGCUUAGAUAUGACGAAGAACCCCGAUUGCGAAGGCAGCUUGCUGCAGCGGAACUGACGCUGAGGCACGAAAGCGCGGGUAUCGAACAGGAUUAGAUACCCUGGUAGUC
rnacentral:rRNA from 1 species